GGUGCACUAACAGGCACUAGCAAAUAAAAAUAAAACACAAGGCUCAAAACAGAGAGGAAGGUUCCAGGUACUUGUGUAUUUCUUUAAGCUGCUGCAUAGAGAGGAAGGUUCUGGGUACUUGAGUAUUUCUUUAAGGUACUGCACAGAGAAGAAGGUUCCGGGUACUUGCAUGUUUCUUUGAGGUGCUGCAUAGAGAGCAAGGUUCCGGGUAUUUGCAUGUUUCUUUAAGGUGCUGCAUAGAGACGAAGGUUCUGGGUACUUACAUGUUUCUUGGAGGUGCUGCAUAGAGAGCAAGGUUCCGGGUACUUGCAUGUUUCUUGGAGGUGCUGCUAAGUCCAGCACUGUAUACUGCAC